rnacentral:rRNA from 1 species
GAUUUCUGGCGAGACAUAUCUGGCCGGCCACGGUUUCGUGUGUUAGUGCUUGAUAUUCUAGCCAUCCUUCCAAUGGCUAUUCAUCCUUCUUCAUUGAGGUGGUGAGUGGUAUUGGAUCUUUUACUUUGAAAAAAUUAGAGUGUUUAAAGCAGGCUUUUUGCUAUGAAUACAUUAGCAUGGAAUAAUAAUUUAGGACUUUGGCCCUAUUUUGUUGGUUUCUAGGACUGAAGUAAUGAUUGAUAGGGAUAGUUGGGGGUGCUCGAAUUCAGCGGCCAGAGGUGAAAUUCUUGGAUUCGCUGAAGACGAACUCAUGCGAAAGCAUU